rnacentral:lncRNA from 1 species
AAGGGGCCCCACAUUUUUAUUUUGUCCUAGAUCGUACAAAUUAUGUAGUCAGUCCUGCUGAGGAGGCUCAGAAAUCCUCUCCCACCCCUUCUACAGCUGGCUCCUUGUCACUGAAGCUUCUGUCUUCUCCGGUGAUGGUGACAAGGUGGCAACUUUUAUGCGGGGACCUAAGUGGAGAGCCCCAGAGCAGAUCUCUUACUCAGCCGAUGAGUAUUUCGACACACCUGUUCACUCCCAUUUAUUUAAACAGAUACUGGAACCCAGAGGCUAUUUUCACUGAGGUUAUCAAAGGAGCUGGGUAGAGAAGUUGAUAAAUUGCUGAGUAAUUACAUUGUCUUUGUUGGUUAUAGGUCAAAGUCCUGCUGAUAAUGCAUUUUGAAAGCCCAGUGAGGAAGUUUAAGUGCUGUUAUCCCCAACAUCAUCCUCACGAGUUCCAGCAGUGACUGGCACCUUCCUGAGCCUGGCCAGGAAGCGAAUAAACCCCCCCGGUAGUCCUUGAUGACUUGGCCGAGGUGGUGUAGUAAGUCGGCAUUUGGACUCCAGCAGUUAUGUGUCAGAAGAUGAGGCUUCUUGGCCAGGCAUGGUGGCUCAUGCUGGUGAUCCCAGCACUUUGGGAGGCUGAGGCAGGCGGUCAAGAGAUGGAGACCAUCCUGGCCAACAAGGACUGCAGGAUCCUCCUGUCUGUCGAGCCCACGGACCAAGGCUGCUACCCCCUGAACAACCAUCUCUUCUGCAAGCCAUGCCAUGUGAAGCGGAGUGCUGCGGGGUGCUGCUGAGAGUGCCCGCUGGGCAGUGAACAGACCACUAGCCCCGGCUGGGGCCCUUCCCUGACUUGGUUUCCCUUCCUAACCUGCUCUUGCACACUUUCCUUCUGAGCCUCCAUGGAGACCAGCCUGCAAGCCGGCCCAGCCUGUCCAGGAUACAGUGGGGCUGAGCACCCCCAGGCCUUCCACUCCUCUACCCUCUGGGCACCAGAAGGCUCCUGGACCAUGAGCUUCACCCCCAGAAUUCCCUGCUGACCCUGCCCCACUUCCAGGGAAAAGCUGGGGGAGGUUGGACCCCUCUCACUGACUAGCUGUCUGGUAGGGGUGCUAGGACCAGCCUCGCCUGUGGGGUUGAGCUGUUUGAGGACAAACUCCAAGGUCCCUUAAAAAGUGCCUUUUAGAGGCUGGGCAUGGUGGCUCACGCUUGUAAUCCCAGCACUUUGGGAGGCCAAGGUGGGUGGAUCACCUGAGGUCAGGAGUUCAAGACCAGCCUGGCCAACAUGGUGAAACCCUGUCUCUACUAAAAAUACAAAAAUUAGCCAGGCAUGGUAGCAGGUGCCUGUAAUCCCAGCUACUGGGGAAAGCUGAGGCAGGAGAAUUGCUUCAAUCUGGAAGGCAGAGGUUGCAGUGAGAUUGCACCAUUGCAUUCCAGCCUGGGCAACAAGAGGGAAACUCCGUCUCAAAAAAAAAAAAGUGCCUUUUAGGCCGGAUGUGGUGGCUCAUGCCUGUAAUCCCAGCACUUUGGGAGGCCAAGGCAGGCAGAUCACUUGAGGUCAGGAGUUUGAGACCAGCCUGGCCAACACGGCAAAACCCCGUUUCUACUAAAAAUACAAAAAUUAGCUGGGUGUGGUGGCGUGCGCCUGUAAUCCCAGCUACUCAGGAGGCUGAGGCAGGAGCAUUGCUUGAACCCGGGAGGCAGAGGUUGCAGUGAGCUGAGAUGGCACCACUGCACUCCAGCCUGGGAGACACAGCGAGACUCUGUCUCCAAAAAAAAAAGUGCUUUUUGAAAAUGUUGAGGUUGAAAUGAUGGGAACCAACAUUCUUUGGAUUUAGUGGGGAGCAUAAUAGCAAACACCCCCUUGGUUCGCACAUGUACAGGAAUGGGACCCAGUUGGGGCACAGCCAUGGACUUCCCCGCCCUGGAAUGUGUGGUGCAAAGUGGGGCCAGGGCCCAGACCCAAGAGGAGAGGGUGGUCCGCAGACACCCCGGGAUGUCAGCAUCCCCCGACCUGCCUUCUGGCGGCACCUCCCGGGUGCUGUGUUGAGUCAGCAGGCAUGGGGUGAGAGCCUGGUAUAUGCUGGGAACAGGGUGCAGGGGCCAAGCGUUCCUCCUUCAGCCUUGACUUGGGCCAUGCACCCCCUCUCCCCCAAACACAAACAAGCACUUCUCCAGUAUGGUGCCAGGACAGGUGUCCCUUCAGUCCUCUGGUUAUGACCUCAAGUCCUACUUGGGCCCUGCAGCCCAGCCUGUGUUGUAACCUCUGCGUCCUCAAGACCACACCUGGAAGAUUCUUCUUCCCUUUGAAGGAGAAUCAUCAUUGUUGCUUUAUCACUUCUAAGACAUUUUGUACGGCACGGACAAGUUAAACAGAAUGUGCUUCCCUCCCUGGGGUCUCACACGCUCCCACGAGAAUGCCACAGGGGCCGUGCACUGGGCAGGCUUCUCUGUAGAACCCCAGGGGCUUCGGCCCAGACCACAGCGUCUUGCCCUGAGCCUAGAGCAGGGAGUCCCGAACUUCUGCAUUCACAGACCACCUCCACAAUUGUUAUAACCAAAGGCCUCCUGUUCUGUUAUUUCACUUAAAUCAACAUGCUAUUUUGUUUUCACUCACUUCUGACUUUAGCCUCGUGCUGAGCCGUGUAUCCAUGCAGUCAUGUUCACGUGCUAGUUACGUUUUUCUUCUUACACAUGAAAAUAAAUGCAUAAGUGUUA